UUAAUAAUGGAUGUUAAAAGUCAUAAAAAUUUUAGAGCUGGAAGGAAUCUUAAAUAUUAGUCUAGUUCAAUGUUGUAAUUUUACAGAUGGGAAAACUGGGGUCUGGAAACAGGAAGGGAAUUGCCCAAGGCCAUAUACUAGAAUUGAUAACCGAAUUUGACAGGAACAUGGGCCUUCUGACUCCUACUUCAUUGUUUCUCUCCUUCAUUAUAUUGGCUCACUGAACUUUUUCUUAAGACUCUGUUAACAUUUUCAGAAUGUGAUUCCCGUCCAAUUGCUUUUCAGAAACCAUAAGAAGUUAGUGUAGUGGUCUUUCUACAGUGAAAAAUUAGUAGUUAAUUAACUGCUGGGUAUUGAGGCUACCCCCAAUGGACAUCACCUUUGAUUCUGUCACCUUAUAGAAACUAUAAGGUUUGUGUGUGGGGGAAAUAUAAAGAAACCCUAACCAAGUUGUAUCUUCGCCAUUGCAUCUACACUUUGCUGCACACACUGUGCUCCCUCCUUGCUUUGUCUGCAAUGGUAGCUGCCUAAGAACUUAGAUUUCAGCAACAGUGAACAACUGAGAUGAAAGAUAUGUAAAGCACAGAAGUGACUCCCCUCAUAAAAUGUACAAAGAGCCUGUGCUACGAACCCCUGUCAAUAAGGAAAAUGCUGCAAUGGUGAUGGCAGGGUGCAAAAGACUGCUACUAAGAGACAUGAGAAUUAUAUAGUUUCCCUCUGUAAGUAAACCCAAAAUUUAUCAAGGAAUACAGAUAUUGGGGGCACUUGCUUGAAAUCAAGGUGCUCCAACUUAGUUUAAGACUUCCAGACUCUAUGUAUCACCUCUUUUAAAGUAUGCAUGGAUGUGUGCUGCAGGGUGAAGUAAGGAGAAGUGCAUAAUCAUGCACAAGAGGAAGAAAGGGAAUUACAUGUCCCUUUAUUGGAAAUAUACUGCAGAAAUAUAUGCCACAAAGUAUUUAUUGGCUAUGAAACUUCCUGAGGUGUAUUGACAUUGGGUUGCACACAGCCACAUACCUUCACUUACAUCUCCUCUUGUAGAACUGCUUUGUCCUAUUUUUGUAUAUAUAAAUAUGUUAUGAUGGUUAUUAAUAUUGUUAAUGAUAUUGCUGCAAAUGGUGCCAUAUAUAAGAUUAGGCUUCUUGGAACAUUUAUAAACCCUAAACAAAUACCUGAAUACCUGUAACCUCUUAUGUUGCUUUUAAAUCCUUUAACUUAAAUAAUUUGUGUUUAAUCUUUAAAAAUCUGCCUAAUGUACUUCAAACUUAUCUACUCCUAAAAGCUAUACUCAGUUAUCUGGGUAACACUGGGUGAUGAUGAGUAGCAACACACAUUUCUCGCUGCUUCUGUCCAAAAUUUGCUUAGAGUCCAGAUAUCUAAGGAUUCUCUGACACUAGUGCAUUGUUCUGGAGCUAAAGUUACACUAUGGAUGCUUGCUUAUUAGUUUCAAGCCCCUUCUUAAUAGCUCCUUGAUAUUUCAACCCUGCAGUCCUUACUCAGGCAAAUUGUGCACUGCCAGAAGGGCCCUGGGCUCUGCCAUACACCCAGAGGAGUUCUUCUCAGUGUAUUUUUAAAUGGCCUUAUACUUGGUAGAAGAAACUGAAGGGUUCUUGAAUGCAUUCUGCUGCCGAGUCAGGGCUUUUACUUAUGUCCAAGUUAGCCUGAUAUGGACUGCAUCUGGUUUACAUAGAGAUGGGUCCUGUUGAGGUAUGCACACAGACAUGUGAGUGCACAUAUGUGUCCCUUCUGUGGUUUCAUAUAGAUAUGUAUAUAUAUGUAAAUAUAUAAUCACACAUCUCUAUAUAUUUUAAUGUAUUGCACAUGUAUAUUUAAAAUAUAUACAAAAUAACUCU
rnacentral:lncRNA from 1 species